rnacentral:rRNA from 1 species
AUUGAACGCUGGCGGAAUGCUUUACACAUGCAAGUCGAACGGCAGCACGGGGGCAACCCUGGUGGCGAGUGGCGAACGGGUGAGUAAUACAUCGGAACGUGCCCAGUCGUGGGGGAUAACGUAGCGAAAGCUACGCUAAUACCGCAUACGAUCUACGGAUGAAAGCGGGGGAUCGCAAGACCUCGCGCGAUUGGAGCGGCCGAUGGCAGAUUAGGUAGUUGGUGAGGUAAAGGCUCACCAAGCCGACGAUCUGUAGCUGGUCUGAGAGGACGACCAGCCACACUGGGACUGAGACACGGCCCAGACUCCUACGGGAGGCAGCAGUGGGGAAUUUUGGACAAUGGGCGCAAGCCUGAUCCAGCAAUGCCGCGUGCAGGAUGAAGGCCUUCGGGUUGUAAACUGCUUUUGUACGGAACGAAACGGCGAGCUCUAAUACAGUUUGCUAAUGGCGGUACCGUAAGAAUAAGCACCGGCUAACUACGUGCCAGCAGCCGCGGUAA